rnacentral:misc_RNA from 1 species
AAAAAAAAAAAAAAACCCUUAGGGAUGCCAUAAUAUGAUUUUAAAAAUAUAGGGUGAAUUUUGCUAUAUCUCAAGGACUAAUUUGUAAAAUACCCUAUUAUCUUUAAGAACAUAUAAUAAAAAUGCAGAUUAGUUUAUAAAUAGCUAUGUUUUUACGAGAUAAAGAGCGUAAAUAUUAUUGAUAAAAGUACACACGCAAAACUAUUUAGAAUGGAAAAGAACUUCAGAACGUUACUACCAGAAAAGGCAACAAAAUUAUUUGUACUCUAUAGUAUUCCUCAUGACUUGUUUUAAGUGAUGAGCAGAGGAUGCAAAACUAUUUCAAAGUUUCGAUAGUUGGUAAAAUUAAUUGAAGUAUGGAACUAGGGGUGGCCACGGUUCGGUUUCGAACC